GUCCCGCAACGAGCGCAACCCUUAUCUUUAGUUGCUACCAUUCAGUUGAGAACUCUAAAGAGACUGCCGGUGAUAAACCGGAGGAAGGCGGGGACGACGUCAAGUCAUCAUGGCCCUUAUGGGAUGGGCUACACACGUGCUACAAUGGGAGGUACAAAGAGCAGCCAACUGGCGACAGUGCGCGAAUCUCAAAAAACCUCUCGUAGUCCGGAUUGGAGUCUGCAACUCGACUCCAUGAAGUCGGAAUCGCUAGUAAUCGCAAAUCAGAAUGUUGCGGUGAAUACGUUCCCGGGCCUUGUACACACCGCCCGU
rnacentral:rRNA from 1 species